ACUGUGGCCAUGUGAAAGUUAUGUCUGAGACAUACUAGCAAACUUUAAACAUACAUUCUCCAGCAGAUUUAAUUUUAUGAAAAAUCUUCUCGAAAUUAGGUGUUUCAGACUAGAAUACAAGCAGCUUUCAUUAACAGGCUAUUCAUUUAAUUAGGCCCGUUACACUGAUUAUUACUAAAGUAGCAGAAGAUACAUUUAUUAAUACAGCACGUGUUGCAGAUAUGUAUGCUUUACGUUUUGAUAACAUUACACUACAAUAUAUUUUUUUAAACUGUCAAGCAAUGGCUUGUCUAAUGAGAAGCCUUAUCAAAAGGGAUUGCUAAAAGUCAUUAUUAGGCUGAAGAGGUUUUUGUGGAUUUAGUAAUCUCAUUUUCUGAUAGGAUUUUACGAUGCUCUGUAGGACAUUACACUAAAUUAGAUUCAUCUCCUUAGCUCACUUUUAAGUUAUCAAAGUCCGAUUCUAUACUACAAAGUCACAAAGAUUUUUUUUUUUAAGUUUGAGUUGGCAUGACUGCAGUGUUUUCUUGAACGAGACGAUUUUUAAUUGGCUGGUGGCAGGAGGGAAUACACUGUAGCAGCAGCUGAGCAUGCACCUUCUGACCCCCUGCACACACACACAAACCAACAUACACCCAUGCAAAAGCCUUGAAAUUAAGUCCUGCCCUUUCCAAAAUAAUCCAUAAUGCGAAAGUGUUUCCCUAGGGCUGCCCUCACACAGGGUUCCUGUUAUCUGUUAUUCUGCUGACUUUAUGUGUGUGUGCGCUGACAACAACCCAUUCCCUGUAUUGGCACAGACUCAGCUCAGGCCUGGUGACCUGGCAGCAGCAACACACGUUGACACAAACACAGAAAGACUUACUGUACUCUCUCUCUCUCUCUCUCUCUCUCUCUCACACACACACUUUGUUAAUUAUCUCAGUAGUGGGACUGGAGGCCCCUGCAGACUGCAUUCUGUUUGGCAGAGCAGUUUUGACACAGCAUGAUCCAGAAACACAAAGACAGAGAGAGGUGUGCACUGGCACAGUGGGAUGUAUAGAAGUAGCUGACACCCAGCAUUCUCCAUCUGUUUCCAACUACACAUUCAGCUGAAAUCAGCUCGGAGCACAGCAUAUAACAAUCCAGUAACCCAGAAAUAGAUCCAGGACCAAAGCCAGGGGGUAGGUGGUGUGCUCCUCCACCCUGCCCAGGACCAUCCCAUCUGCCACAAGGAGACCUUGGCUGGGCUCAUUCACAACCUCAGGCAUAGAUCAUGUUUUCUUAACAAAGGGGACUUAUAACAAGAUUUCACAGCAGGAUGUUGCCUGUUGUCAAUUUAAAUUUUGGUGUAAUCAUAACUGCAAUCAAAUUAUGAUUAAAACAAUGUAUUGCACUGUAUAUCAAGAGCAAAUUGAAAGUAAGACAAGUUCUGUUUGUGUUUUCAUUAUGUAACAGGUUAACUUUACCGUUUCCUGCCUCAUAGUUCUUGCCUCUGGGUUCUGCCCUGUUUGGCAAAGAAGAGGGAAGGCCUUGCAGGGCUAUAGCCUACAUAUGAGAGGCUACAUAUGUAUAAUUAAUAUCUGUCAUUGGCACCCUAGAAUGUGCUGUAGGAGAGCCAAUAGGGAAGCAGGGAGGAAGGGUAAUAGUAAGAAGAUCCGAAUGGGUCAAAGAGAGAGCAAGAGGAGUCAUCAUGGAAGACUUCAACUGAGUAACUGCUCGGCUGCAAGCGUGUGCACAUGAGCGUUCUUGCUUGUUUGAAUAUUCAAGCAAAAAGACUGCUCAGCAGGUUAUUGUCAGAUAACGCAUUGGCUCGGCACAGCCAUCUAUUCCAUUCAAAUAUAAAUGCAAAACAGGGAGCACUUCUUAUUCAACUGCUUCUUUCUUUUCAACUUACCUUCCCCCUUAUUUAGAUCAACCUCCAUUGCUGAUAUCUGGAGAGGUAAAACUUGGGCUCGAAAAAGCAUCAGCCUUUACAGAAGUGUUUGUGGCUUGGUAAUUGGUUGUUUGCUCCAUGGCUCUGAAGAAGAAGCCAGUCAACAAAAGCUUGAGGGUAUCAACAAAGUUUUGGGCACUUUCUUGUAUUAUGUUUUCAUGUGGCCAGACUCUUUACUUUCCUAAUUGACGUCUUGUCUACAUAUUGUAAUUCCCAAGAAGUGUCCCUAUGGUUUCAGACAGCAUUUCUAUUAAUUUUCCUUUGAUAGGACCAAUAUCUUUGCCUGGGCCCAGAUCUUUGCAUCCACCCACUCCAAGUUCACUGAUUCCGGUCUGGCAUCAUGAUAUGAAACAGCAGUUUCAGUUAAUAAAGUCUAAUAAGCCCCACGGGGUACUAAGGCUUAGACACAGGUGGGACUAACACCGUUGUCAAGAUAUGCGCUGGAGCCAAGGAGGAGUAAUAACAACAAGGGUGACUACUAUAGACAUGAUGAAUCUAAAUCAGUUAAAAUUUGGGACCGUUUACUUUGCUCCAGUAGUAUGUUGGUAUGGCUACACAUCACUGUUGACUUGAUGUUAGAUUCAGGCAGAUACAUUGGUCUCUAGUGACUGGUUAGGAAAACAGAAUCUGGUUAGGAAAAUCUCCCACGAAAAUUAGAGUUAAUGUCAGACUGAAGAUGGAAAUGGAGUGCAACGAGUUGACAAUUCUGUAUGGUAUCAACUAACAAAUACCUUACAGAAUAAAACAAAACCCAAAAAAAGCACCGUUAGUCAUAAUACAAAUAUCCAAAUAACGGUCUGAAACUGUGACACCUGCUGUCACUGAUCCUAAAAGCAAAAUCCUGUGUUUAAUAUUUAAAAUUAACUCCAAGGAAAAAAUAAAAUGUUAUGACUAACAUCUGAAUAUAUACAAGCUUUACAUUGGGUGUUUUCACCACACUAUCAUCACCAAAGCCUCAGCUAUACUGCGAAUCUACUAAACAUGUCACACAGUGUGGGGUUACUGUUAUGAUAUUACUAGCACACUACACAAUAUGUUAACAUUAAAUAUUUUUGGUAUAGUGACAAUGCUAGCAUCUAGCCUGGAGCUAACUCACUCAGCCAGCAUACUGAAGCUUUCUCUCUCCAACUGAGUGACUCCAAGACAAUUAAUGGUCAUAUUUGAUCUUUACAUUCAAUAUUCAGAGCUACGCAACAAAAUACAAGUCAGUGAUUGAUAGUUUAAACAAGAAUGCAUCUAAAGCAAUGCUAGUUUCGUGAUGCUAGUAUUAGACAAACGGAAAUUUUAACUGGAUGAUGGCACGAGAUGAUCACAGGAUUGCGAAUGUCUACAGCAAACUAUCUGUUCAGCCAUCCAGUAGUUGCUGAGAUAUUUCACUCUGAACCACAAAUGUCAACCUCAUGAUGGUGCUCAAAAAACAGAGGCGAUCAAGCCUUUGGUGUAGCUGCCCCUAACCUGUGGAACAACUUGCCAUUCCAUAUCAGAACCUCCCCCACUCUCAAACGCUUUAAAUCAUUGUUAAAACACAUCUCUCUUCUCCGGCUUUUCCUUCAAGUAAAGAAUGUUACUAUCCCAGGCCAUAUUUUUAUCAUUAUAUCAUAUAGUCUAUGAUCUAAUGUAUACUCUAAUAAUGUUUUAUUGUUGUACUUUUAGCUUGCAAAGCACCUUGUUCAACCUUGGUUGUUUUAACUUUUGAAUUUCAAUUUCAAUUUCAGAACACUUUAUUUAUCCCCAUGGGGCAAUUGCGAGACACGUAGAUUAGGACGUUAAAUAAAAAAACAUCUUUCGUAAUAAACAUAGCCUAAUAAAUUAGUAAAUAAAUAGACAGACAUAUAUCAGUGUUGUCACCAUAGUCCAAAGCAGCAUUGUGCUAUAUAAAAAAAGUUGAUAUUGAUAAAAAAAAAAAAAAAACAACAGACCAUUAUUGCCAGUCAGAGAAAACAUUUCUGUAUCUCAGCAGCAUUAUGGUAUAAUCAAUCAUCAUAUUUAUUCAAGCCAAUAUGUCCUCAAGAUAAAAAUUAUGGUCCAAGUAUAACCACACCUUUAGACAUACUGAGCCUCAUCAGACAGGCACUAGCAAACAGCCUUUGGUCAGUGAAUGAAUACAGCCUGUCAAGAAUCAGCACCAAAUAUGAUUUACCAAGAUUGUGCCUGUAAACUGAGAAGAGGUGAGAAAAGACAACCGAUAUUGUCUCCCUUCACUCUGUCUGCUUUCUAACCAUCCCACUCACCCUGACUCACUGACUUUCUGAGCAUUCAUCAGGGAAAAGGUUUAUCUCCUGUUGAACUCAAGACACCAGGGAGAGUGCUGUUUAUUUCUCUGAUAUCAAAAGACCCAACAGCAAUCAACUCUCAACUCCUUUCAGAGGCAGAGAGAGAAAAUAACUGCAAAAACUGUGUCUUAUGCUAUAGGCCAAGCUGUUUGGAAAUUAAAUGUCUGUCAGGCAAUCAAGGGGAAUUCCAGUCUAGUUGCUUUGCUGCAACCAGAUAGUGGUUAACUUGCACCUCCUAUAAGUGAUGCAAUGAAGCAAAGUGCCUACCUGAAAACCAGGAACUGACCGAAGUGAUCGUCCCUGCUUCGCUUUCUAAGACAUUUUACCCAAUAAAAUAUUGAUGGAAUUAAACAAAGCUGACAAAUCAGAGACCGUCUUUAUUUUUAAAGGUUUUUUUAAAAUCACAUUUUAUCGCAACUGAUAGGAAACAGCAGAGAAACAGGAAAUGUUUGGGGCCACAGAAUGGCAGUGGUUUCAGUACGUUUAGUUUCUAACAGGCUUGAAAAUAAACUGAAGCCUGUUGAUGCCAAACUGGUAGCAGAGUUUGAAAACAAACAUAUUCAUAAAAUAUUAAAACUUUUCCCCAUAUUUUGUCAUGUAUGAAAAAACUCCAAAUGAGUAAGCAGACUACUUGAUUACUAUAAGCACAUUAUUUAAACAGAUCUGUAUGAUUCUGUCUCAAGCUUUUUGAUCCAUAAGCGGUCGUUCCGUGUAACAGUGAUCAAUAUAAGCGGUUUCCACUGUAAAACGAAAAGGGCCUAUCUGGUAAAGGAGGAUCCUUUCCGUAAUGAUACUGUGAGAUUAAGGCACCAUUGUCGUGUUAUCAAUUAGGAAAAGAAAGUUAAUAUAUUUAAAUUCAAGACAGUAGGCUACAAAACUGAAUGAUCAUAUAAUGGCCCAAAGAGUUUAAGAAAUUCUUAUCACAAACUCUGUAAAUCCUUCCUUAGUAGAGGUUUGUUUACAAGAGCUUGGUAUCAUUCUCCAAACAGAAGCACACAAAUACCUGCCAUAAAUCUAAGAAUUCACAUAGGAUAUCUAGGACAGACUAGUUCAUAUUUGCAGGCACUAACAGAUCUCUCUCCAUCUAACCUAGAAACCCCAUAAUGGAUCUCUGAUCUGUGAUGUCCAACUGUAAAACCAGAACUGGUGCUGAUUCAAUUUGGUGAAUGGUUUCACUUUUCCCAAGUAUCUCCAUUGCUGAUAUUAUGAUUCAAUUUCAGCUUCUUACAGAUACAUCUGCACCAUAGCACCAUGGCAUAGGCUAUAUAUUAAGAUUUAUACAGUCAACAGAACAGCACUGACAAGUUUCUAUCAGAUGUAAAAAGCCCAGAGCAGUACAUAUCUUGGUCACAAUUCUUUGAAAAGCUAAUUUGAAAUGUUUAGUUAUGUUCUUCUUCUUAAAGUUCUUAAACACUUAAAUAUCGUUAUUAGUAUCAGACUCAAAAAAAUCCUGGAUUGGUGUGGCUCAAGUCAUAGGUUCACAUAAUGGCUUUAACUUCUCUAGUAAGAAUCCUCACUACAAAAGACAAUUUGUCUUAGGAUGCAGGAGAACCAUUUUUUAAAUUUCCCAUUCAACUCACAAUCAAUCCACAAAUCCACAUCAGCUCAGAAAGUUACUCUAAUAUAAUAUCAUAAAAUCAAAAUUCAGACCAGUAAACCCCUGCCCCACCUUGGCAGAUGAUGCUAAUUCUGAAUCCCUUUUUAGAAAGACAAAGAUAUUUUGGUUUGCUCGAAUGAACAUUACCUACUAAAGUUUUAAUUCUGGGUUUACAUUAUAUUUUAAGCCUGUACAUCUACUUGUCCUCCCGUAAGUUUCACCUUCAAUGUUAGCUAAAUUGCCCUCCGUUCAUAUGUCAAACAAACGUGUCCACUAGUCCUGCCAGUUUCAAUUCAACAAUGUCACACAGCCAUGCAUGACCAACUCGAUAUUUUUAUUCAGCCUAGCGUUAGCUCAGUCGUUCGAGGAACUUAUGAAUUAUAUUCAUGUAAAAGAAGGAGGUAAGAAGAGAAGGCAUAA